rnacentral:rRNA from 1 species
AACGAACGCUGGCGGCAGGCUUAACACAUGCAAGUCGAACGCCCCGCAAGGGGAGUGGCAGACGGGUGAGUAACGCGUGGGAAUCUACCCAGUUCUACGGAACAACACAGGGAAACUUGUGCUAAUACCGUAUACGCCCUACGGGGGAAAGAUUUAUCGGAAUUGGAUGAGCCCGCGUUGGAUUAGCUAGUUGGUGGGGUAAUGGCCUACCAAGGCGACGAUCCAUAGCUGGUCUGAGAGGAUGAUCAGCCACACUGGGACUGAGACACGGCCCAGACUCCUACGGGAGGCAGCAGUGGGGAAUAUUGGACAAUGGGCGCAAGCCUGAUCCAGCCAUGCCGCGUGAGUGAUGAAGGCCUUAGGGUUGUAAAGCUCUUUCAGUGGGGACGAUAAUGACGGUACCCACAGAAGAAGCCCCGGCUAACUUCGUGCCAGCAGCCGCAGUAACAC